GGGAUCGAGAUUAAAAACGAAAAUUCCUCGUUUGGAAGAUGGAAAAUCAUAACGAGAAAGUUACAUUUCAGAACUGUCUGAAAAGACUUCUCAGAGUAACUUAUAGAGACGACGUGUCUUCAAAAACUGAUAUCAAUGUUUUGAUUGACGAGUUGAUUGCUUUAGAUUAUGCUCAGAAGUUUGUGGAUGAAGAGGAUGCAAACAAAUUGAUCCAGCAUGUCUGCAGAAUAAUACCAGUUUUUGAGGAGCAGAUAUCUGUUAAAGCAUGCCAGAUUAUUCACAGCCUAACAGCAAAACAACAACUGUCUAUGGAAGAGCAGGUUUUGUGGAGUGCCACCGAAUUUCUAGUAAAAGCUAUACAGAGAAUAUCCCACUGGGCUACAGCUGAGAUUCUCCAAACGUUGGGAGCGGUGGUUUAUGAAAAUGUUGAUAGAUUAAGUCAGUUUCAUGAAGUGCUACUUGGGCCACAAGGAGUUUUAUUUCCACUGAUUAUGGAAAAUACAACCAGUGAAGAAAUUUUAAAAGGAGCAGUGCAAUGUGUUGAAAACCUUACUUUCAGAGUGUCCAGCAAGGAGUAUAUGGAUGACCAGUAUGCUGCCUUGUGCUUUCAGACAUUACUGGAACUGCUACACAGAGUGCCUAUUGCCAAUAUGGAGUCAGGAUCACGGUGCAAGAUUUUGAUAUGUAGUUUGAGGGGUAUACAGAAUUUGUUGACAGCAACCAAGAUAAUGCCAUCAGAAAACCUGGGACCUUUGCUGGCAGGGAUUCGGGCAUUUAUGUUCCAUGGUCUGCCCGGGGCUCCAAUCUCGGUCCCAGAUAGCUUGUACCCCACACCCCUCAGUCAGUAUGAUCCAUCCCCAACAAACUCUGCAAGGUCUGAGUUGCAGGCAAAUGAUGAGACCUCAGCAAAAUCUGGAGGUGGCAAAAAGUACAAAAAGAAGAAAGCAAAGAAAGGAGCAGAAAGUACUCGCAACACAACUGCAAAAUCAUCACAAGACAAAGACGAUGAAAAUGAUGAAGCAGAUUCUUCAAGGUCUAGAGAAGCUGUUUCUUUCAGGCCAAAUUGGGCAAAAAUUAGCAGCUCCGAAUCAGAGUAUUCUGACACAGAAGGAGGUCAAAGUUCACAGUUGAGGUCACUUCAUGCUAAAGUUAGACAAUGUGCUCUUGCCUGUUUGCACACAACAAUAAAGAACAUCAACAAACGAGUGAUAUUUGGGUACUGGUCGUCUUUUAUACCAGACUCCAAUGCAGCUGGUAACAGUCCCCAAGUGCACACCCUUUUUACUGUCAUUCUGAAAGAUCCUUCACCAAAGUGUAGAAUGGGAGCACUUGCUGCUUUGACAGCUCUGGUUGAUGGCACAAAAACUCUUUUAGCAACAGCAGAUGACAGUGAUCAAAAGUCCACAGCAUUUGUUCCCUUCUCUGCCAUUUUGGGAUCGACAAUAAGAGAACUCCAUAGAUGUCUCCUUCUAGCACUUGUCUCUGAAAAUAUUCCUCUGACUCUUACACAAUUAAUUAAGUGUAUAUCCACGUUGAUCGCCAAUGUACCUUACUCAAGGAUGAGAACUGGCCUACUGAGUCGUGUAGUCAAACAGAUCAGAAAUUUCAUCAGCUACAGGGAUCCCAAUGUGAGAGUGGCCUGCUUAACAUGUCUUGGGGCAGUGGCAGCCAUACAACCUCCUUUGAUGGAGGUGUGCCACAUUAUUCGGCCAACUCGACCACCCAGCCAUGCCAGUGUUAGUCGAGAUACUGAUCAUUUGAAUGUAGACUCGGGUAUUAACAGUGGCAGUCGGAGUAACUGCUCACCCAACACUGAAGCAGGCAUAUUGGAGGAAACCAAAGAAAGUCCUAAUUUGUCCCCACGAAUGGGGACACCCAUGGAAUCAUCCUCAGGGACCCAGACACCAGUGUUUUCAGAUGUCACUUUGCAGGCUCAUGCCCGAAAUGUAUCUUGGCUGGUGAAGUUGUGUGUGAGGAACAUACUGCCCUACCCAGGAGAGAAUGGGGAACAACAUGUGGAACCCCUGCCUGUUAGACUUGAGUCCUUACAAGUGCUUGCUCAUUUAUCUAAAGGAUACUUUCCUAUCAUCAGGAACAGUCUGUCCAUCCUUCAAGAUUUGAUUCUCAGGUGUUUUGCAGACCAAGAUCAGGUUGUGCGCUUGCACACCUCAAAGCUUGUUGAUGACCUGACCCAGGCUCUGCAGAGAGAGAUCCAGUCCUCAGAGCUGACAGAUUCAUCAGGCAGACUAUCUCUACAGCAGGUGACCAAUUUCUGGAUUUCUCUGUUGAAUGGUGCCAUUGCUGACAUUCUUCAGACAGAAGGCCAUUGUGCUGUUAAGGCCACAACAUGUGACUGUGUGUCCAACAUUGGACCAGAGGUGUAUGCUGCACUACCAAUGGACAAACAAGUGUUGUGCAUUACAUUAAUUUUGGGACUGACGUCAGAGGAAGACAAGAUAGUGAGGUCCUCUGCCCUUAGGACUGUUGGUGUUUUUGUCCUGUUCCCAUGUUUAAGAGAGGAUGUGUGUUUUGUAGCAGAUGCUGCUAAUGCUAUCCUGACAUCCAUGGAGGACACUUGUUUGAAUGUCAGGUUUAAGACAGCCUGGUCUCUGGCCAAUCUGUGUGAUUCUCUCGUUUUGAACAAGAUUGAAGGAGAUGAUGAUUUUAUGAGUGACUUCUCAGACAUGUUGCUACAGAAGUUGUUUACGACAUCCAUUAAAGCAUGUCAGGACAAUGACAAAGUUAAGUCUAAUGCAGUCCGGGCUGUAGGAAACAUCCUGCGAUACCUACCAAUCAGGAGUCUGGGCAAGAGUUCAUUCAGGACAUUUGUAGAGGAAGGUGUGAAAGCACUGAUUAAGAACAUCAGCAGUGGGACAAUGAAGUUACGAUGGAAUGCUUGCUAUGCAGUCAGCAAUAUGUUCAAGAAUACUCUGCUAAAUUUUGGAGGGGCCUCUUGGACAGUAAGUGUUAUCUGUGAAGCAUAUAGGGAGCUGUAUGUCUAUUACUGGGUCUGUUUUUGAACUUUGAGAGAUAGAACUUUGACAGCCGAUGAAAAGUAUACAUAUUCAAUAAGGAUCAUCUUAUCUAUAUCCAUCCAUCCAUUCAUCUAUCUAUCUAUCAUGUAAAUAAGUAAAAGAAUCGAUACAGUCUGAAUAUGAUUUAAAGAAAGUAACAAUCCAAAAAUAAUCACAUUAUUGAUAAUUCUGCAAGUACUUAUGUCUACAAUGUUACCAAGUAACCUUAGUAACAUUCAACAACAAGCAAGCAUUCAUUGUGAUGUCAAGGUAACGGUAAAGACGAGUUAACGUUAUAUCAACAUACUCAAGGCGCCAACAUUAUAGUACAUAGUCUAGAUAAUAGAGUCAGAAAGUUCUCGUUUUACUUUCAUUUUCGAUUUACAACUUCGGGCAGCAGUCGAAAAUGCUGCUUUGCUUUUGCCUUCAUUUGCACUCACAUGACAGGAUCAAAACACCUGCAGCCUGUAUAGAUUCCCAACUGAUGCAAAAAAGAGGAAGAAGUGGAUUGAUAGAUGCAGGUAAGCAAAUUAUAGACUAGGUUGUUUUUUUUAAAUUUAAAUCACCAAUUGAAAACUGUGAAGCAUUGAGCUUGAUCCAGAUGACCAAAGCCAGGUGAUUAAUCUAAAAGUAAUUUUACUGACAAUAUUAAGUAAUAAACAAUUAAAGGCUUUGGUUUUUAACUACCUGAUCUGAAAGCCCAAGUGAGCUUUUCUGAUCACCCAUCAUCUGUCCGUCUGUCUGUUAACUUUUCAUACUUUCAACUUCUUCUCCAGAACCACUGGGCCAAUUUCAACCAAACUGGUACAAUUCAUCCUUGGGUGAGGAUUCAAGUUUGUUCAAAUAAAGGACCAUGCCCCCUUCAAAGGGGAGAUAAUAACAAAAAUGCAAAAAUAGGGUGGGAUCAUUUAAGAACCUUCUUCUCAAGAACCGCUGAGCCAGAAAAGCUGAAAUUUACAUGAAAGCUUCUUGACAUACAGAUGACUCUCGAUGGCUCGAACUUCGAUCUCUCAAAGUAAAAUCAUGGUCCUGAUUUUUCUCUCUAUAUAACAAAGCAAAUUUACUAUCGAUCUCUCAAACGUUCGAUCUCUCGAAGUAAAGUUGGGUCCCAUAAAACACAUUUCAUUGUUUUUCACUCUCGAAGUGGUGGUAGCGUAUACCCACCGUUACCCAAGCGUGUAAUAAUUUCCGCUUGGGCUUUACCUGGGUUUUGUUGAAUGCCAGAGGGGUAAUUAGGUGUUUACAUAGUUGAAACAUCGCUGGUACUUCUUUGAGUAGGUGACACACUUGAGUAUAUAAUUCGCUAAUUGGUCCGUUUACACCUUGCACUGGGGUUUUGUGUCGUGAUGAUUAAAAUUAUAUAUAAUCCGACUAUGAAUAAAAUCUAUAAUUUGUUUAGACGUGACGAGAGAGUAAGUUUUAUACAUUAAAUUAGAGAUCUACAGACUGUUAAAUUUCUCAAGUUUGUUCUUUGUGUAAAGUUACUCUAAAACAUCGUUUUACUCAUUCUUUAGAAUUUUUGCUUUGUGUAAAGCGACAUAACAUUGUGCUCUGUUUAGUUUGCGAUAGUAAAGCGUCAUCGGAACUUGGUUUUGUAUGCCUAUCUUAGCAUGAUUAAAGAACAAAUAAAUACAUAAACUUUGAAAUGUUUUUAUUAAUGCAAAAUAAGGUUUUUUUAUUUUGAUAUCAAAGUACCUGACAAAUAUUAAGGAAAACAUGUCAAAACGAUAUCAUAUGAUCUUGUUGGUAUACAUACAGUUCCAGUUACCAUAAAAUCUUAACCAUACCGGCGGACCUUCAAUUUCCAAAUUUUGAUCUCUUGAACUCUCGAUUUCUCGAAGUUUUAUCAAGGUCCCUUGAACUUUGAGUUAUCGAGAGUCACCUGUAGUUGAAUAUCAAGUUUGUUAAAAUCAUGACCCCCAGUGGUAGGAUGGGGGCCACACAAUAGGAGAUCAAAGUUUUACAUGUGAAUAUAUAGGGGAAAACUUUAAAAAUCUUCUUCUCAAGAACCACUAAGCCAUAAGAGUGGAGAUUUACCUGUAUGCUUCCUGGUAUAAAGUAGAUUCAAGAUUGUUUAGAUCAUGGCCCUUGGAUGGGGACACAAUAGUGGAUCAAGCCUCUGGGGUAGGUUAUCAAAGUUUUACAUACAGAUAUAUAGGGAAAAUCUUUAAAAAUCUUCAUCUCAAGAAUCGCUGGGCUAGAAAAGUUUACAUUUACAUGAAAGCUUCCUGACACAGUGCAGAUUCAAGUUUGUAAAAAUCAUUGCCCCCUGAGGUAGGUUGGGGCCAAAAUAAGGAUCAAAGUUAUACAUGCGAAUAUGUAGGGAAAAUCUUUAAGUAAGGGCCAAGGUGACUUAGGUGAGCGAUGUGGCCCAUGGGCCUCUUGUUUAUGAGUUAUGAUUAACAGUACAUCACCCAUUAAUGUAAUAUGUCAUUUUUUGCUAUAUGAGACAUUGUGUAUGUUAGAGGAGGGAGGUCGUAUCUGGGCUAGGAGUUAUGCACUUAUCUUUUGUACCCUCAUUUGUCAAUCUACAUGUAUAUCAUUAAAGUUAAUCCUAUAGGCUUUUAAUUUUGAUCUUAUAGGAAAGUACUUACAAUAUACUCUGGAUAUAUUGGAAUUAAGGGGACUGUUCAUUGUAUCCAAAGUUCAAUAUAACCAAUAUUGAACUAUACUCGGGAUUUAGUUUUACUUCACUAUAACAGAUAGUCCAAUAUAAGCAAUUCAUUAUAAGUAGAGCAGACCUUAUAAGAGCAAAGUCUGCAGCCCAAUGCAUUUGUGUGUUCUGUCAUUACUAAAUUAAUACGUUAAUUUUUUUCGGGAAAAGUGUACCAUAUAUAUACAUGUACCAAGCUGCUAUGGAUAUAACUUUCGAAUUAGUGAUGGGCUAAUUGAAAAGUUUAAUUAAAACUGAAUGCAAUUAAUUACAAAUUUUUAAGUAAUCAGGAAAUGAAAUUUAAAAUUUCAAGUAAUUUGUAAUUGAAUUAUUUUCCAUUACAAGUAAUAGUAAUUUAAUUAAUUUUAUUGCAAAAUCAUUAUUUUUAUGCCCCCCCCCCCCCCCCCCUUCAAAGAAGAGGGGCUUAUUGCUUUGCUCCUGUUGGUCAGUCGGUCUGUAGACCACAUGUUGUCUGCUCAAUAUCUUGAGAACCAUUCACUUAAUGGUAAUGAUAUUUCAUAUGUGGGUUGGUUAUGAGUAGAAGAGGACCCCUAUUGUUUUUCAGGUCCAAAGGUCAAGGGUCAAUCUACUCUGGACAUAGGAAGACAUUGUCCGCUCAAUAUCUUGAGAACCCUCUGCUUAACAGACAUCAAACUUGGUACACUGGUACAUCCUAUUGAUUUUGAGGUCACAUGGUCAAGGGUCAAACUGGGCAUAGGAAUAUACUGACCACUCAAUGUCUAGAGAACCCUUUGCUAGAUAGACAUCAAACUUGGUACACUGGUACAUGUUCAGGAGAAGAUGACCCUUAUGGUCAAGGGUCAAACUGGACAUAGGAAUAUACUGUCCGCUCAAUAGCUUGAGAACCCUUUGCUUGACAGGCAUCAAACUUGGUACACUGGUACAUCUUCAGGAGAUGAUCCCUUUUGGUUUUGAGGUUUUCCUACUAAGUAAUACUACGACCUUGACCUCUGACCUUGAAAACAAUAGGCAUCUUCCUCUCAUCAUGGUGAUCAAACCCUACCAUAAGCUCCAAGAUAUUGCAACUUGGUACAUUCAAUCACCAUGACGAGAGGAAGAUGCCUAUUGUUUUUCAAGGUUAUAGGUCAAAGGUCAAGGUUGCAGUAUCACUUAGUUGGAAAACCUUGUAGACAGGAUACAAACCGAAACAUAAGCUCCAGAAUAUUGAAUCUUGGUACAUUUGAUCACCAUGAUGAGACGAAGAUGCCUAUCAUUUUUCAAGGUCAGAGGUCAAGGUCACAUUAUCACUUAGUAGAAAAACCUUGUAGGCAGUAUACAAACGGAAUUGUUGGGGCUAGGACCGUCAAACUUUGUACACAUACACUUUAUGCCAAGUGGAGGAUGCCUAUUGUUUCUUAAGGUCAAGGUCAUAAUAGCAGGAUGCAGACCGAUUCGUUGGAUUGAUUGUAUCUUGCUUAACGUCUUGCUCGAGAAUUUUUCACUCAUAUGGAGACGUCACCAAGACCAGUGAAGGGCUUCAAAUUUAGACCUAUGCUCGGCGCUUACGGCCAUUGAGAUAUGAGGGUUCUUUAGCGUGCCACACCUACUUUGACACAGACUUGGUACACAUACAUCUUAUGCCAAGUGAAAAUAUUACAUAGAGAGUGCAUGAUUUGUCUUGUUUUUUCGAUGCAAAGAAAGUAUGUCACACCCUGAUGAUUGCUGAUACUCCUUGAAGACAAGUUCUACAAAUCAUGGUGUAAGAAAAAAGCCCUAUAUUAGCUUUUCACAGGCGUAUUAUGUACCGUUGGCGAUACUCUUGUUAAGGUGGCUCACUACACCAAGAAAUAGUUUCUCAAAUCAGUAUGAAUUGAUUUAAUUAUAAAAGAUAUGAUGAUAUACAAUAAGUACUGUAAAAUAUCUAUAUCUCGAAGUCCGAGGGACUUUGAAAAAACUUUGAGAUAUCCGGGAGUUCGAGAUAUCCAAAAUCAAUCUUGAAUAUUUUUUUGAAGGAGGAUAUUUGAUGCAUAGUAUGGGAUUUGCAUUAUAAACAACAAACCCAUUGCCGUUUCUUAUAGUUUAAUGCAAGUUGAUAAAUUAAUAUUGUGAAAUUUCAAAGGCAAACAUUUUGUUUUUUAUAUAUCUAUAAACAUCUCAUUAAAUUUACAAUGUGUUUCAAAAUUAAGAUGAUCGUACUUACUUUACUGAUGUCCAGGCUUGACUGGGAUGUAGCUAUUGCAUUGUAGUGAAAGAACCUAUCACGUAAGAAGCAAAAAAAGAUGGAUUUUUAAAAAGAACUUUUAAAUAUUUAUUAAGUACAAUAUCUUAUUAAAUACAAUUGAUACGCAUGCUAUUUUAUACAAUACUACAAAGAUACAAAAAAUUCAGACAAUGUUUGAAAUGUUCUACGUUUCAUUCAAUGAUUUUCUGACAGCAUCUAAGUCCCCGAAGAACAGCGUAAUGGAGGAUUGUUGACUGCAACUCUUCUGUAGUAAUGCAGCGAUCAGUUCUCUGAAUUCCAGGAACAAGUUCUUCCGUAUUAUCAGACAUUUCAAUCCAGUGCUGUAAAACCUCAACAUCAUGUCUGGCCUCUGUAUCAUCCAAAACACCAUGCCUGGAAUUGGGCGUAUGCUGUUAUAUACAUCAUUUCCUUCAGAAGUAUUCAAUGUGUUGGUGGCUGUUAUGAAGAGAAUGGGCCCAUUUAACUACUUCUGUGGAUGGACAGUACAAGGGUUCAGUACCAGUAAUCAAUUUCUCGUGACUCUUAUGAAGUUGUGCCUUAAUCUAAGGGAUCUAGAGUUCACAGAAAGUUUCAACAUCAGUAAAGCUACUGUGUCCAGCAUCUUCAACUCCUUCUUUGUAGCACUUCAUGAAAUAUCAUUUGAAGGAGUCAUGAAAACUCUCGUAAUACCUUCCCAAUUAAGAUGCAAAUUAAGGAUCAAUUCAGAAUUCAUUUGAGAAGUUUUUCUCUGUAAGAAUCGCAAUGGAUGCCACAGAGAUAACACAGGAUGUACCUUUAAACUAAAUUGCAACACGGCAAAAAUUGUGUAGCACCAAUUGUUGCUCUGGGGUGUUGUUCUUGGAUCCACUUCUGAUGCUGCCAUUGUCGAUCACUGUGGUAUAUUGGACAUGUUGAAGCCAGGUGAUAUUCAUGAUUCUUGCAGAUAAGGGAUUUAACAUUUGAUCAAUUUCCACCAGGAUUGACAUUUUAACAUACCACAUUUCCUUUCAUUGAAAUCUCAUUUCUUUGGAAUGCCACAACUGCCUUAUGUGGAUAAUAUUCAUGUUAUGAUGAUAAUAUUCAUGUUAUGAUGAUACAUGUACUUCUUCAUUAUAUGAUGAUACUUUAACAUUACACGAUGAUUAGUGAUGGGCAAUCGGUUUAAAAUCUUAAUCGAUAAUCGUUUUGUAAUCAGGAGUAGAAAACCGAUCGAUUUUCGGUUAAUAAUUGUUUUUCUAUGAUAUUUAAAAAUAUAUUUUUCAUUAAAUAUUAUUUGUUUAAACCUUCUGCACCACAAUGUACUUGUAUCAUAGUAUGCUACCUUCUCUAUAUGAAUACUGCAUAGAUGAACAAAACCAGUCUUUCAUGCAUUAUUUUUUAUUUAACAGCAAACUACAAUAAACCUGGCACUAUAACCUUGGGACUGGAACAGAUAUUAAAAAUAAAUUGCGCAUGACUGACAUGUAAAACUGUGCUGAACAGAAAAAGAUACAUGUAUGCUUUGUUCGCGCUCGCCAUUUUGAAAUGAACUAAAAUACGAAACCAACUCGAUCCUUGUUAUCCGCCAUUUUUAUUUCCGGUUUUGAUAGCGACUUUUGAUUAUAAAAUUUUGUGAUAGAUAAUCAGAAUCCGAAAGGGUAAACUAAUCGAUUUUCGAUGUUCGGUCAUCAUCCCAUCACUAAUGAUGAUACUUUAACAUUACAUGAUGAUACUUUAACAUUAUAUACUGAUACUUUAACAUUACAUGAUGAUACUUUAACAUUAUAUACUGAUACUUUAACAUUACAAUGACAGUUUAACAUUACAUGAUGAUACUUUAACAUUACAAUGACAGUUUAACAUUACAUGAUGAUACUUUAACAUUACAUAAUGACAAUUUAACAUUACAUGAUGAUACUUUAACAUUACAUACUGAUACUUUAACAUUACAUGAUGAUACUUUAACAUUACAUGAUGAUACUUUAACAUUACAUGAUGAUGCUUUAACAUUAUAUGAUGAUACUUUAACAUUACAUGGUGAUACUUUAACAUUACAUAAUGACAAUUUAACAUUACAUGCUGAUAUUUCUUCAUUAUAUGAUGAUGCUUUAAACAUUAUAUGAUGAUACUUUAACAUUACAUGCUGAUAUUUCUUCAUUAUAUGAUGAUGCUUUAAACAUUAUAUGAUGAUACUUUAACAUUAUAUGAUGAUGCUUUAAACAUUAUAUUAUGAUGAUGCUUUAACAUAUGAUUGUACUUUAUCAUUAUGUGGUGGUUCUAAAAAUAGUUAAGCAUCAGGAUAGUUAUGCACCAAAACCAUUUCAUCGUAGGCAGGAUACAAAACCAACCAUAUGGCCCAGAAUAUUGCAACUUGGUACAUUGAUCACCAUGAUGAGAGGAAGAUGCCUAUUGUAUUUCAAGGUCAAGUGAAAGGUCAAGGUCGUAGUAUUGCUUUGUAGGAAAACCUUGUAGGCAGGAUACAAACCGAAUCGUAAGCUCCAGAAUAUUGAAAGUAGGUACAUUUGAUCACUUCGAUGAGAGGAAGAUGCCUAUUAUUUUUCAAGGUCAAGGUCACAUUAUCAAUUAGUAGGAAACCUUCUAGGCAGUAUACAAACAGAAUUGUUGGGGCUAGGACCGUCAAACUUUGUACACAUACACUUUAUGCCAAGUGGAGGAUGCCUAUUGUUUCUUAAGGUCAAGGUCAUAGUAGCAGGAUGCAGACUGAUUCGUUGGGUGCAAGGACCAUUAAACUUGGCACACAUACAUCUUAUGCCAAGUGAAAAUAUUACAUAGAGAGUACAUGAUUUGUCUUGUUUUUUUUUCGAUGCAAAGAAAGUAUGUCACACCCUGAUGAUUGCUGAUACUACUUGAAGGCAAGUUCUACAAAUCAUGUUGCAAGAAAAAAAACGCCCUAUAUUAGUUUUCACGAGUGUAUUAUGUACCGUUGGCGGUACUCUUGUUAGCUCACCUGAGCUGAAAGCUUAAGAGCCAUUCUCUGUAAGCAUAUAAAAAUAUAGGGAUGGAUAGAUUCCCUCACCGAUUUUGCUGAAAUUUGGCAUAUAGUGAUUAUUUGAUACCCUCUCAUAGAAUUUGGUACCAAAAUUCGUAAUUGCCAUGGUAACAUGAACACCUUGAAAAUAGCUCCCAAGAUGCUUAGAAAUGCUCAAUUUUGGCCUGUUUUUGACUAAAUUGUUGUGCUCGCGCAGACGAUUAUGCACAGUUCUUGUACUGAUUGGUCGAAGUCCAGGAAUGCUACGAGCUGUCAAACUUCCUGUCUGGAAACGAUUUCUCAGGUGCACAAGUGGUUGUCCUGUCGAUGCGAUGUCACACGAGGACGCCUAAAAUGUUGUCGAUCCUGAGUGUUACCAGAUUGUUGGAAACGUCUCCAUAAUGACUGGAUGGUGUUCCGAUGAACUUCAAAGUGUCUUGCUACGAUAUUUUGUGCCAUUCCAGCUUGAAGCAUCCCAACAGCACGAUUACGUUGGUUUUCGCUGAUCGUGGCAUGACAGAAGGAUACAUUUUGUCAAAACUAAAGUGCUUUCCUUAACGAAUAGUGUCCAAACAAACUUUUACCUUCUUACUCCAAACAGUAUUGGCCAGUAAAGCUCGUGCGUACGAACACUUCAAUAAACAACAUGUGUUCACUAACCAUGAAACAGUCCGUGCAUCUGAGUCGGGUACUAUCCGAUAUUGUUCAAAAACAUCACCUUUAUCGAUUGUUUAGAUUUUAUAAAUAUAAACAAUAAAUAUAGAAAA